rnacentral:misc_RNA from 1 species
AUGAAUUGAUUUUUCCAUACAUUGCUUUAUAUGGUCUCUUUGUCCUCCUGUACAAUGCACCUGUUCAAAGAGAAGACACAAAGGAGACUCGCUCUCCUUUUACAACUUUAAAAUAUUUUGCCAUCGCCUGCUCUCUUCUUCUGCAUAUUGUUUACUUGAUGGUAACUCCACCAAGAAGGUACCCCUUCCUCUUUGAGGCAGUAAUGAUGCUUCUCUGCUUCUGUCAGUUCUUUUUAGUUUUUAUGUACA